AUAGAGAGGAGGCUUUGCAUCGUCAGCUGAUCCUCCACUGAACUGAGAAGCUUUAUAGUCCUGUGACUCCAACUCUGCAGGACUCAGACCCGUCAGUCCACCACAACCACCAUGACUCUCAUCACCCUCCUCAUCUGGACGCUGGCCUGCUGCAGCUUCACAGGAUGCAGCGGCCAGGUGACUGUGACUCAGCCUCCAGUCAUGACAUUUACUCCAGGAUCCACUGUCACGCUGACCUGUAUAAGUACUCCCAGUGUUUAUGGCAAUAUAUAUACGUCCUGGUACCAGCAGAAACCUGGACAGGCUCCCAAGCUUCUCAUAUACUUAACAUCAACUCGAUAUUCAGGAACUCCCUCUCGAUUCAGUGGCAGUGGCUCUGGUUCUAGCUUCACCUUAACCAUCAGCGGUGUUCAGGCUGAAGAUGUUGGAGAUUAUUACUGUCUCGGUUAUCUUAGCAAUGUGUUCACACAGUGA